UUCGCCCUACGGGAGGCAGCAGUGAGGAAUAUUGGUCAAUGGCCGAGAGGCUGAACCAGCCAAGUCGCGUGAGGGAAGAAUGUCCUAUGGAUUGUAAACCUCUUUUGUCAGGGAGCAAAGUCACCCACGUGUGGGUGUUGGAGAGUACAUGAAGAAAAAGCAUCGGCUAACUCCGUGCCAGCAGCCGCGGUAAUACGGAGGAUGCGAGCGUUAUCCGGAUUUAUUGGGUGUAAAGGGUGCGUAGGCGGGUUAGCAAGUCAGCGGGAAAAUCGUGGAGCUCAA
rnacentral:rRNA from 1 species